CGAUUAGCNCGGUACUCGCCGAAUGCUCUAGAUUAGAGUUUGAUCAUGGCUCAGAUUGAACGCUGGCGGCAAGCUUAACACAUGCAAGUCGAGCGGGGAAGGUUGCUUCGGUAACUGACCUAGCGGCGGACGGGUGAGUAAUGCUUAGGAAUCUGCCAUUUAGUGGGGGACAACAUUCCGAAAGGAAUGCUAAUACCGCAUACGUCCUACGGGAGAAAGCAGGGGGAUCUUCGGACCUUGCGCUAAAUGAUGAGCCUAAGUCGGAUUAGCUAGUUGGUGGGGUAAAGGCCUACCAAGGCGACGAUCUGUAGCGGGUCUGAGAGGAUGAUCCGCACACUGGGACUGAGACACGGCCCAGACUCCUACGGGAGGCAGCAGUGGGGAAUAUUGGACAAUGGGCGGAAGCCUGAUCCAGCCAUGCCGCGUGUGUGAAGAAGGCCUUAUGGUUGUAAAGCACUUUAAGCGAAGAGGAGGCUACCAGUAUUUAAAUACUACUUGGAUAGUGGACGUUACUCGCAGAAUAAGCACCGGCUAACUCUGUGCCAGCAGCCGCCGGGUAAUAACACGAGGGUUGGCG
rnacentral:rRNA from 1 species